GAUGAACGCUGGCGGCGUGCUUAACACAUGCAAGUCGAACGAAGCAACUUAUCACGAUCCCUUCGGGGUGACGAUUUGUUGACUGAGUGGCGGACGGGUGAGUAACGCGUGGGUAACCUACCUUGUACAGGGGGACAACAGUUGGAAACGACUGCUAAUACCGCAUAAGCGCACGGUUCCGCAUGGAACAGUGUGAAAAGCUCCGGCAGAAUGAGAUGGGCCCGCGUCUGAUUAGCUAGUUGGUGAGGUAACGGCCCACCAAGGCGACGAUCAGUAGCCGACCUGAGAGGGUGACCGGCCACAUUGGGACUGAGACACGGCCCAAACUCC
rnacentral:rRNA from 1 species